GAUGAACGCUAGCGGGAGGCCUAACACAUGCAAGCCGAGCGGUAUUGUUUCUUCGGAAAUGAGAGAGCGGCGUACGGGUGCGUAACACGUGUGCAACCUGCCUUUAUCUGGGGGAUAGCCUUUCGAAAGGAAGAUUAAUACUCCAUAAUAUAUUGAACGGCAUCGUUUAAUAUUGAAAGCUCCGGCGGAUAGAGAUGGGCACGCGCAAGAUUAGCUAGUUGGUGAGGUAACGGCUCACCAAGGCGAUGAUCUUUAGGGGGCCUGAGAGGGUGAUCCCCCACACUGGUACUGAGACACGGACCAGACUCCUACGGGAGGCAGCAGUGAGGAAGAGUGGUCAAUGGGUGCAAGCCUGAACCAGCCAUCCCGUGUGAAGGACGACUGCCCUAUGGGUUGUAAACUUCUUUUGUAUAGGGAUAAACCUACCCUCGAGAGGGUAGCUGAAGGUACUAUAAGAAUAAGCACCGGCUAACUCCGUG
rnacentral:rRNA from 1 species